UUAAAUUAUAUUCCCAUCAAAUAUGUAUAAUGGUUCUCCUUUCUUAGUAGCCUCACUCAAACUCCUUAUUUUUGUGCUUUCAGAACAGCCAUUCCUACUGGGUCAAGCCAACAUUUCAAUGUGGUUUGAUCUCCACCUCCCUGAUAGUGACGUGGAACAAUUUCACCAAUGUAUCCAUCUUUUCUUUUAGUUUGUUUUGGUUUCUGUUUUGAAACAGGGUCUCAAACUGUAAUUGAGGCUGGCCUGGAACUCACUAUGUAGUGGAGGAUGGUCUCAAAGUCAUGGCAGCCCUCUUGCCUUGGUUUCCUGAGUGCUGGGAAUACAGAACUGACGCAGAUGGUCCAUCUAACUCCCUCCCUCUCAGUUCCUUGGGAAGAACAGGUCUCAUGCAUUGAGGCACGGAGUCUGAGUCAUGAUGACUGAGAUUAGAUCAUUUGAGCGGGGAUGGUGAGUAGGCAGUUGAAAUAUGAAUCUCAAGUUCAAGGCACAGGCCAGGACUGGCCAUUUACAGUUAUGAAAUCACCCCGGAAAUGAAUAUGGCUAGAAGAAAGAAGAUGCCCAAGGCCUGAGCCCUGGGGCACCCAAAUCUUGAAGAUGUGGAGCAACCAGCAAAAGAGACACAUGGAAACUAAUGACAUCAGAAGGAGCUGAAGUCACAGAAGCAUAAUGGAAGAUGCAUUUUCAGAAGAGCCACUCUGAGGCUAUAGAAUUCCUUUGUGAAAACAAGAGAAACAAAAAGCCCUGCUUCUUUCUCAAGUAAGAAUAACGAACUGCUUUCCAUGGUGCUGGGGGUUGAACCCAGGGCUUCCUGAAAGCUAGGCAAGUAAUCGACGGAACCACAUCCCUAGCAAGUAGGUGUCCAUUUUGAGACAGCCCAAUUCAUUUAGCUCCAUUAACCCAACUUUCCUUGAGCACUACUCAUUUUUUGCUGAUUAAUUUCUAAGGUUAUUCGGUGCUUUCCCAGGCACAUGUGCUUAGAUGAUGGCGUAUGUUCAGUGCUCAUGACUUCUCAAACUGGCUGUUGAU
rnacentral:lncRNA from 1 species